UUAUGAAGAAUGGUCGCUUUUGCCUAUACAUUCACAUGUAAGUAAUUUGUCUUAAUUCUCAAUUAUACGUUUUUCAUAUAAAACAAUAGUUUAUCUUUUAUAGUUUAACAAUCAGAGUUAUUCUAAAUAGGAUAUUGAUGAAGUUCGUGUUGAGUGGGUGAAUCUCAUUCUUAGUCACAUAUAAAAAGUAGAGGUAAUAUUCUACAACUUUGGUUUACUAAUAUGGAUUUGUGUUAUAGAUAUACUAGUAUAUGUUUAUUUGGUCUAUUGAUUUUAAUGAAAGAAAUAUACUUUUGAAAUAAUAUAUGUUGCAAUUAGCUGGAAUUUUGUUUGAAAUGUAAGAAAUGCUUUGUUGACAUGAUUGUUUUAUAUGUUUUCAUGGCAAAUCUUGUUUUAAUUUUGUGCCAGGAUAUGCUGGAAAUGAAGCAAAAACAGGAGACUUUUGCUGAAUUUUCCAUGAAGAUUCUUCAACAAUAGACUACUAGAUAUUGUUUUGAAAAAAAAUAUUGUACUCUUUGUUUUGUAUAUUUAAUCUCUUGUCGUUGUUAGCUUCAUUUCAGUGUACAUUAACAGAAUAUGAAAUAUUGUGAAAUUAU
rnacentral:lncRNA from 1 species